rnacentral:rRNA from 1 species
UAGUAACGGCGAGUGAAGCGGCAACAGCUCAAAUUUGAAAUCUGGCCUUCUUUGGGGGUCCGAGUUGUAAUUUGCAGAGGGCGCUUUGGCGUCGGCAGCGGUCUAAGUUCCUUGGAACAGGACGUCACAGAGGGUGAGAAUCCCGUACGUGGUCGCCUGCCUUCGCCGUGUAAAGCCCCUUCGACGAGUCGAGUUGUUUGGGAAUGCAGCUCUAAAUGGGAGGUAAAUUUCUUCUAAAGCUAAAUACUGGCCAGAGACCGAUAGCGCACAAGUAGAGUGAUCGAAAGAUGAAAAGCACUUUGGAAAGAGAGUCAAACAGCACGUGAAAUUGUUGAAAGGGAAGCGCUUGCCGCCAGACUUGCCCGUGAAGGUUCUCCUCCUCGGGCAGGCCAGCAUCAGUUUGAGCGAUCGGAUAAUGGCCUCUGUCAUGUAUCUUCCUUCGGGAUGACCUUAUAGGGGAGUCGUAGUACGGUCAGCUCGGACUGAGGUCCGCGCAUUUGCUAGGAUGCUGGCGUAAUGGCUGCAAGCGGCCCGUCUUGAAACACGGACCAAGGAGUCUAACAUCUAUGCGAGUGUUUGGGUGUCAAGCCCGAGCGCGCAAUGAAAGUGAACGGAGGUGGGAACCCUCUCUGGGGGUGCACCAUCGACCGAUCCUGAAGUCUUCGGAUGGAUUUGAGUAAGAGCAUGGCUGUUGGGACCCGAAAGAUGGUGAACUAUGCUUGAAUAGGGUGAAGCCAGAGGAAACUCUGGUGGAGGCUCGCAGCGGUUCUGACGUGCAAAUCGAUCGUCAAAUUUGGGCAUAGGGGCGAAAGACUAAUCGAACUAUCUAGUAGCUGGUUCCUGCCGAAGUUCCCUCAGGAUAGCAGUAACGUAUUCAGUUUUAUGAGGUAAAGCGAAUGAUUAAAGGCCUGGGGGUUGAAACAACCUUCACCUAUU